rnacentral:miRNA from 1 species
ACCCAUCUUCAGACAACUCUGG